CUCGAAUCCUCAUGGUGAAGGGUCUGCAGGACCCACAGCAAAGCCGAGUGCACACAGCAGUGUCCUCCACUGCAAGAGUCCUUAUCAUGAAAACAGAGGGCAGAGAAACAGCAUCUCACCACUCGACCCUAAUCCUGAGAGCUAAGCUGCCGACAAACCUCACCGAUCCCGUGCCACAGAGUCUGUUGGACACAAACAGACGUCACGAAAGUUAUUCAGUGUUGGGGUUAAAAGACACAGGAUCCAGAACCAAAGUUCCAGAAGUAAAAAGUCACAUCUAUUUCCUUUGUAUUUUGAUGCUGUGCAAAUCAUGUAACUUUUCUAGGCCUUUGGUAAAUGGUGAUAACUAUAGCUCCUACAUAUUAUAAAGUUUCUGAGGGAUUAGAUGCAUUAAUAUGUGUAUUACACUGAGGAACAAAGCUUGGAAAAUAGUGCUUAAUAAAGGUUUGCCAUUGAGUAUUGUUGCAGAUUAUAUUCAAGAUCAUAGAACACACAGUUCCUAAGACAUUUAUAUUUUGGUUUACUAGUAAACCUCACCUAGAAAAAUUAGAGUAAUUUGUUAGCAAGAAAUGUUGUUUUACCAUUUCAGACUUUUGUGAAUUAGUUAUUUGUUCAUGUCAUUAAGUAAACUGGAAGCACAGUUUUACCUGUUAAGAGUCUUUGA